AGGUAAACUUUGUUCAGUUUUG
rnacentral:miRNA from 15 species